rnacentral:rRNA from 1 species
GAUGAACGCUGGCGGCGUGCUUAACACAUGCAAGUCGAACGAUGAAGCCCAGCUUGCUGGGUGGAUUAGUGGCGAACGGGUGAGUAACACGUGAGUAACCUGCCCUUAACUCUGGGAUAAGCCUGUGAAACUGGGUCUAAUAUCGGAUAGGAGCGUCCACCGCAUGGUGGGUGUUGGAAAGAUUUAUCGGUUUUGGAUGGACUCGCGGCCUAUCAGCUUGUUGUUGAGGUAAUGGCUCACCAAGGCGACGACGGGUAGCCGGCCUGUGAGGGUGACCGGCCACACUGGGACUGAGACACGGCCCAGACUCCUACGGGAGGCAGCAGUGGGGAAUAUUGCACAAUGGGCGCAAGCCUGAUGCAGCGACGCCGCGUGAGGGAUGACGGCCUUCGGGUUGUAAACCUCUUUCAGUAGGGAAGAAGCGAAAGUGACGGUACCUGCAGAAGAAGCACCGGCUAACUACGUG